rnacentral:rRNA from 1 species
AGACCCGAAACCCGGUGAUCUAGCCAUGGGCAGGUUGAAGGUUGGGUAACACUAACUGGAGGACCGAACCGACUAAUGUUGAAAAAUUAGCGGAUGACCUGUGGCUGGGGGUGAAAGGCCAAUCAAACCGGGAGAUAGCUGGUUCUCCCCGAAAGCUAUUUAGGUAGCGCCUCGUGAAUUCAUCUCCGGGGGUAGAGCACUGUUUCGGCUAGGGGGCCAUCCCGGCUUACCAACCCGAUGCAAACUGCGAAUACCGGAGAAUGUUAUCACGGGAGACACACGGCGGGUGCUAACGUCCGUCGUGAAGAGGGAAACAACCCAGACCGCCAGCUAAGGUCCCAAAGUCAUGGUUAAGUGGGAAACGAUGUGGGAAGGCCCAGACAGCCAGGAUGUUGGCUUAGAAGCAGCCAUCAUUUAAAGAAAGCGUAAUAGCUCACUGGUCGAGUCGGCCUGCGCGGAAGAUGUAACGGGGCUAAACCAUGCACCGAAGCUGCGGCAGCGAACGUAUCACUUAAAGCGAUUCAGCGGGUUACGAUUGACGGAGCGAAGCGACGUCAAAGCGUAUACAAAGUCGAGUCGGUUUAAGGAUACGUUCGUUGGGUAGGGGAGCGUUCUGUAAGCCUGCGAAGGUGGCCUGUGAGGGUUGCUGGAGGUAUAAGAAGUGCGAAUGCUGACAUAAGUAACGAUAAAGCGGGUGAAAAGCCCGCUCGCCGGAAGACCAAGGGUUCCUGUCCAACGUU